AUGCAGUACUACCUGACCCUGUUCGGCUCAUUGGACAACUUACUCCGGAUGCUCAAGCGCGAAACCCACCUUCUCUCGUCGGACCUCAACAAGGUGGUCAAGCCCAAUGCAGUAUUCCUGAGGGAGUGCGGGCUAGGUAAUUGUGAUAUUGCCAAGCUGUGUAUCCAUGUGCCUAGGAUGCUCAUCACCAACCCGGAUCGCGUCCGAGCCAUGGUGGCAUGCGCCAAAGGUAUAGGUGUGCCCCGUGGCUCUGGGAUGUUCAGAAAAGCGCUACAUGCUGUCGCAUUCCAAAGCAAGGAGAAGAUUGCCGCCAAAGUGGACUACCUGAAGAAUACCUUCAGGUGGUCUGAUGCCGAGGUGGGCAUUGCCGUCUCUAAAGUUCCGAUGCUACUCAAGUUGUCAAAGGACACGCUGCAGAGCAUGUCCGAGUUCCUGGUAUCUGAGGUGGGGUUGGAACCAACGUGCAUCGCCCAUCGCCCGAUAAUGCUCACUUACAGCCUGGAGGGCCGGCUCAGGCCCCGGCACUACUUUCUAAAGUUUGUCAAGGCAAAUAGGUUGCUAGAUCACGAUUGGAACUACAUCUACACAGUCGAUUUGACCGAGAAUAUUUUUGUGGAGAAGGUCGUGCGCCCUCACAUCGAAGCUGCGCCACACCUUGCUGAAGACUAUGCGGCUGCUUGCCGAGGGGAAGUACCCACUAGAUUCAUGUUUGCUUGA
rnacentral:rRNA from 1 species